rnacentral:rRNA from 1 species
AGGGUUUGAUCAUGGCUCAGAAUCAACGCUGGCGGCGUGCCUAACACAUGCAAGUCGAACGCGAAAGGGGCUUCGGCCCUGAGUAGAGUGGCGAACGGGUGAGUAACACGUGGGUGAUCUACCUCUGAGUGGGGGAUAACGUUCCGAAAGGAGCGCUAAUACCGCAUGACGUCCUGGGUUUGAAGACCUGGACACCAAAGUCGGGGACCGCAAGGCCUGACGCUUGGAGAGGAGCCCGCGCCUGAUUAGCUAGUUGGUGAGGUAAUGGCUCACCAAGGCGACGAUCAGUAGCCGGCCUGAGAGGGCGGACGGCCACACUGGGACUGAGACACGGCCCAGACUCCUACGGGAGGCAGCAGUGGGGAAUUGUUCGCAAUGGGCGCAAGCCUGACGACGCAACGCCGCGUGGAGGAUGAAGGUCUUCGGAUUGUAAACUCCUGUUGAUCGGGAAGAAUGGACUCCGGGUUAAUACUCCGGGGUAGUGACGGUACCGAUUGAGGAAGCCACGGCUAACUCUGUGCCAGCAGCCGCGGUAAUACAGAGGUGGCAAGCGUUGUUCGGAAUUACUGGGCGUAAGGGGCGCGUAGGCGGUCGCCUAAGUCGGACGUGAAAUCCCCAAGCUUAACUUGGGAACUGCGUCCGAUACUGGGUGACUUGAGUUCGGGAGAGGAAUGUGGAAUUCCAGGUGUAGCGGUGAAAUGCGUAGAUAUCUGGAGGAACACCGGUGGCGAAGGCGGCAUUCUGGACCGAAACUGACGCUGAGGCGCGAAAGCCAGGGGAGCAAACGGGAUUAGAUACCCCGGUAGUCCUGGCCCUAAACGAUGAGUGCUUGGUGUGGCGGGUAUCGAUCCCUGCCGUGCCGAAGCUAACGCAUUAAGCACUCCGCCUGGGGAGUACGGUCG